GUGCUCACUUCAGCAGCACAUAUACUAAAAUUGGAAUGAUACAGAGAUUAGCAUGGCCCUGCGCAAGAGUGACACGCAAAUUUGUGAAGCAUUUCAUAAUUUC
ensembl:snRNA U6 U6 spliceosomal RNA